rnacentral:sRNA from 1 species
AGAGGUUCGACCCGAGCGAAGCGAGAGAACGUUGCGUCAGCAACAGCCCGCAGGGCGAGCCACGCAGUGGCGAGUCAUCCUCUAUCACCGACCA